rnacentral:rRNA from 1 species
UACGUAGGGUGCAAGCGUUGUCCGGAAUUAUUGGGCGUAAAGAGCUCGUAGGCGGUUUGUCGCGUCGAGUGUGAAAACCCGGGGCUCAACCCCGGGCCUGCAUUCGAUACGGGCAGACUAGAGUUCGGUAGGGGAGUCUGGAAUUCCUGGUGUAGCGGUGAAAUGCGCAGAUAUCAGGAGGAACACCGAUGGCGAAGGCAGGUCUCUGGGCAUUAACUGACGCUGAGGAGCGAAAGCAUGGGGAGCGAACAGG